GGAGUCGGCCGGACAGUCGCUCUUCCCGCUCGCGGGGAGGGAGGAAAGUCCGGGCUCCAGAGGGCAGGGUGCCAGGUAACGCCUGGGGGGCGCGAGCCCACGGAAAGUGCCACAGAAAAUAUACCGCCAGUCUUUGUCCGGUUACGGCCGGAACAGGAAAGGUAAGGGUGAAAUGGUGCGGUAAGAGCGCACCGCGCCGGUGGCAACAUCGGCGGCAGGGUAAACCCCACCCGGAGCAAGACCAAAUAGGGGGGCGGGCAGUCCUUGACUGCCGUGCGCGGCCCGCGCGUGCCCCCGGGUAGGUCGCUCGAGGCGCAUGGCGACAUGCGUCCCAGAUGAAUGACUGUCCGCGACAGAACCCGGCUUACAGGCCGACUCCCCAC
rnacentral:RNase_P_RNA from 1 species